rnacentral:rRNA from 1 species
AGAGACAGCAGUAGCCGCGGGAAAACGGAGGGGGCUAGCGUUGUUCGGAAUUACUGGGCGUAAAGCGCACGUAGGCGGCUUGGUAAGUUAGAGGUGAAAGCCUGGAGCUCAACUCCAGAAUUGCCUUUAAGACUGCCGAGCUAGUAGGUGAGAGAGGUAAGUGGAAUUCCGAGUGUAGAGGUGAAAUUCGUAGAUAUUCGGAAGAACACCAGUGGCGAAGGCGGCUUACUGGCUCAUUCUAGACGCUGAGGUGCGAAAGCGUGGGGAGCAAACAGGAUUAGAUACCCCCGUAGUCCCUGUCUCUUAUAC